rnacentral:lncRNA from 1 species
AUAUACUCAAGUUCAUUCUUACGAUAUCAAACAAAACACUCUUCCUUGACUUGUUCAACCAUGGCUCACUCAUCCAAACAUUCUUCUCCGUCUCUUGUUGAUCAUCAGCUUGGCAGCACCUCCUCCACCAACUGUGUCUCUGUGAAUCAAGAGAAACAAACAUCAUCAACAUCAAGAAUGUCUGUUUGUUUGUUAACACUCGCUAGUUCAAGUCAAGAUGCAGGCUUCACCUCAAACUCUGCCUCCUUGGCUUGACCGACUCCGGCGAUGGUUCUGGCCCGCUCAGCUCCUCCUCGUGCUGCAGGUUGCUCCACAAUGACACGGGGGAGCAGUCCUCGACAUGCUCGCAACUUGCACCAUCAUACGUGGACGCCAUUGUGGCAGAGGUGGAGGCGGCAUGG